AUGCCUGUGCUCUCUUACGGUCUAAGGUGCAUCCUAUGUUGGAAAUUAAUAUUUGCUUCUGAUUGUGAGUUCAAAAGUGUUUUUAUCUAUCACGGCUACGAAGUCUUUGAUCUAUGGAAGGAAAAAGCAUAGAGCGAAUGAAUAAGUAGCCUCGACCCAUGAAUGAGCUGGGUAUGUGGGCCGACAAUCAUGUUCCUGGACUCUUGAAUCUUAGUCCUGUAUAAGAAUCCGGCCUUGAAUGCAUAAGCUAGAACUGUGUGUCCUAAGACUAAACUUGCCCAAAACCCUCGGUCUUACAUUGCUAGAAAACAUGUUUUUCAUGCUGUGGGCUUCAGAAUCUACAAAGAACCUAAAGAUGGGGAAAAGAUUUGUCAUUUAUAAUGUUAGUUAGCAUCCAUGCAACCGUAUAUUGAGAUUUAGUUCAAAUACUUGAAGGAGACUCCAAGAAUGGUUGGGGCUGUCAACCCGUUUACCUGUUUGACGAAACGCCUACACCAAAUCAGGUACCCUUUUUCUAAUUGCUAGCAUUCAUUGGACAACUUUUUCAAGUUCAUGUCACAAGUCCUAGUUUUGGAUGUGCUAUCUGGACUGACGUUUGUGGUCUGCUGGCAAUGGCAUGGUGAGUUCAAGUUCACAUUCCAAAACCUCUUUUUAGGCCAGGAAUAAGCCAUCAGACACUGGUGGAUACCCAUGGAGAAGAUGCAUUCAGGUACUAAACUCAAGGAAGUUAUGAGGAUGUUGCAGUUGUGAAGUGUUUGCUUGACAGUCCGGAAAAGCUGCAACGUCUCUUUUCACGGUUGUAGCUGUUGGCGAGAAGCUGUACGUGUCGAGACGUGCAAUAGACUGAGGUGUAUUUUGUUUUCCCAUUCAGUUUAUUAUUGAACAACGGGCCUCAAGCAUGGACAAAUUUGAAGGGAUGUCUCUUGUUUCCAA